GUCUUGGAGUCUCCUCAGUUUUUGUGGUGUUGGGGAAUGGAACCCAGGCCCUGCACAGGCUGGGCAAGUGUUCCACCACUGAGUUACUCCCCAGCCCUCUCUAAUUUUUAUUUUUAUUUUAUUUAUUUAUUUAUUUUUUAUAGGAGGAACAGGAGGUAUUCUUUUUUUUUUUUUUAAAUAGGAGAGAGAGAGAGAGAGAGAGAGAGAGAGAGAGAGAAUUUUUUAAUAUUUUUUUUUUUUAGUUUUUUUUUUGGCGGACACAACAUCUUUGUUUGUAUGUGGUGCUGAGGAUAGAACCCGGGCCGCACGUAUGCCAGGUGAGCGCGCUACCGCUUGAGCCACAUCCCCAGACCCUAAUUUUUAUUUUUAAACUUUAUUUACUUAUUUCUUUGGUGGUACUAGGGACUGAGCCCGGGGGUGCUUUACCACUACAUUUUCAGUCCUUUUCAUUUUAUUUUUAUUUUUUAUUUUUGAAACCGGGUUUUCCUAAGUUGCCCAGGCUGGCCUUGGAUGUACGAUCCUCCUGCUUCAGCCUCCCAAGUCACUAGGAUUACAGGCAUGUGCCACCAUCCUGGCAAGGGUCUUGGGGUCUUGAACAUCUAAUCCCAUCAUAGGCAAAUGCUGAGUACUUGGUUGUAGGAGGAGAACUAAAGCCCACCUGACCAUCCUGCCACCAUUCCACAGUGACCCCCAGAGGCAGGUGGGCAUCUAGGACCCCAGAGGGCUGUGGCAUGGCCAGUAUAAGGUAGGCAGUGUGGUAGAACCCUGUAGAGCACACUGGCACAAACUUGUUCUGUUGAAGGGCAAGUCGUCCAAAUUUUAGGCUUUGGGGCUCUUAAGGUCUCUGGCUCUGUCAGUUACCCAACUUUGCCAUACCUGAUGAAUGAAUCUGUGUUCCAAUAAAACUUUGUGGAUACUGAAAUUUUAAUAUUAUAGGAUUUCCAUAUAUGCCCAAAUUUUAU
rnacentral:lncRNA from 1 species